CUUGCGGUGGCGGGGUGCUAUACAUGCAGUCGAGCGAACUGAUUAGAAGCUUGCUUCUAUGACGUUAGCGGCGGACGGGUGAGUAACACGUGGGCAACCUGCCUGUAAGACUGGGAUAACUUCGGGAAACCGAAGCUAAUACCGGAUAGGAUCUUCUCCUUCAUGGGAGAUGAUUGAAAGAUGGUUUCGGCUAUCACUUACAGAUGGGCCCGCGGUGCAUUAGCUAGUUGGUGAGGUAACGGCUCACCAAGGCAACGAUGCAUAGCCGACCUGAGAGGGUGAUCGGCCACACUGGGACUGAGACACGGCCCAGACUCCUACGGGAGGCAGCAGUAGGGAAUCUUCCGCAAUGGACGAAAGUCUGACGGAGCAACGCCGCGUGAGUGAUGAAGGCUUUCGGGUCGUAAAACUCUGUUGUUAGGGAAGAACAAGUACGAGAGUAACUGCUCGUACCUUGACGGUACCUAACCAGAAAGCCACGGCUAACUACGUGCCAGCAGCCGCGGUAAUACGUAGGUGGCAAGCGUUAUCCGGAAUUAUUGGGCGUAAAGCGCGCGCAGGCGGUUUCUUAAGUCUGAUGUGAAAGCCCACGGCUCAACCGUGGAGGGUCAUUGGAAACUGGGGAACUUGAGUGCAGAAGAGAAAAGCGGAAUUCCACGUGUAGCGGUGAAAUGCGUAGAGAUGUGGAGGAACACCAGUGGCGAAGGCGGCUUUUUGGUCUGUAACUGACGCUGAGGCGCGAAAGCGUGGGGAGCAAACAGGAUUAGAUACCCUGGUAGUCCACGCCGUAAACGAUGAGUGCUAAGUGUUAGAGGGUUUCCGCCCUUUAGUGCUGCAGCUAACGCAUUAAGCACUCCGCCUGGCGAGUACGGUCGCAAGACUGAAACUCAAAGGAAUUUGACAGGGGCCCGCACCAGCGGUGGAGCAUGUGGUUUAAUUCUAAGCAACGCGAAGACCUUACCAGGUCUUGACAUCCUCUGACAACUCUAGAGAUAGAGCGUUCACCUUCGCCGACGGAGUGACAGGUGGCUGCAUGGCUGUCUGUCUGCUCGUGACGUGAGGAUGUUGGACUAAGUAGCGUUACUAUCGCACGGUGAUCCUUCGUUGCAAUUAUUUCAGCUAGGUAAAUCUAAGGCGACCUGCGGGUGAACUACACCGAAGACACGGUCGGGGAUGA
rnacentral:rRNA from 1 species